GGGGUUGUGGCUCAGUGGUAGAGCCCUUGCUUUGCAUGUGAGGCCCUGAGUUCAAUUAUCAGCACCACA
rnacentral:tRNA from 1 species